AAUUGUGACUUCAGGGUUGACGUCUGGUUAUUGAUAAAGAAACAGGGUGAUUCUGGACAAACUGGGUGGAAGAAAAGCAAUCGGCAGGUGACAAGUUCAACUUUUCGAAAAUUCAAGAGUAAUCCGACAACUCCGUCUGUGUGUGGAGGAGGCAAACUGUCCCUGGUCCCACAUAACAGUCCUGAAGAACUCAGUAAUAUUUGGAAAACUGCAAGGAAACUGUGGGCGUCUCCUGUUUACUAUUCUUCCGUUUCUUUGCAAGAAUGUUGUCAUUUUCAAUCAAAGCAAGUAGUGGAGCGAAGCAACCUUGCGUCUGGCAAUCCCUUCUAUCCCUCAACCCUGAGUUCUGAGACGAAAGAAAAACUUACAUUUCACGCUCUUGCGAGGAGUUACUCUAGAGUAAGCCGUCGGAAUCGCCUUUGGGGACCAAAACAAAAAAGCUGUCAUUUACAGAGAUGUCUUAACUUUUCCUGACACAUCUGGAUUUGUUAUCUCAGCACAUCUGGAUAAUACAAACUGGGCAGGCCAAGAUAGAUCAUUUUAUUCCUGAAUAUUAAUAUUACAAAUUUAAAUCUGAAUGCAAAAGAAAUUGGCUAUCUUUAAAAUGAAUUUAAGAUUAUAAACAGAGAAGCAUGCUAAUGAAAUAUAAUCACCUAUUCUACAGGAACAUAAAAGUAAGUCUUUAAUUUUAGUUUGCUAAAAGUGCAAUUAUUAUAUUUAUUUCAAGUACAAUUUUUAAAGUACAAUUAUAUUUAUUUAAAUUAAUUUUUCCUUUCAAACUCAUCAGAAGUUAGAAAUAAAUUCAUGGAGAAAAAAAGACUCCAGAACACCAAGAACAGUGCCAGAUUUAGGCCUAAGCAAACCACAGCUCAAGGCCCUACAAUCCACAGACAUUCACAAAAUUUCACUUGGCUUGCUUGCUUUUACAAUUUUGUAUGGCCUUUUAGGUAUGCUGCAAAGUACAGUUAGUCUUCAACUUACCACAGUUCAUUUAGUGACGAUUGUUAUGACCCUGAAAAAAGUGACUUAUGACUGUUCUUCACACUUACGACCAUUGCAGAACCCUCAUGAUUGCAUGAUCAAAAUUCAGACACCUGGCAACUGACUCAUAUUUAUUUAUUUAUUUAUUUUAUUUUAAUUGGACUUGUAUGCCGCCCCCUCUCCACAAGGACUCAGGGCGGCUCACAACUAAAACACAGCCAUACAAACAAUAAAUAUUUAAAAAAGAAUUAAAUUAACAAGCCUAACUUUAAAAACCCAAUUAAAAACCCAAUUAAAAUAAUUUAAAAACCCCGGAGGUCAGUCCAGCCGGCCUGUUCAAACAACCAGGUCUUCAGAUUGCGGUGGAAGGAGCAAAGGUCAGGAGUCAAACGGAGCUCCAGAGGGAGCUGGUUCCACAAGGCGGGGGCCGCAACAGAGUAGGCCCUUCCCCGGGGCACCACCAGCCGACAUUGUCUAGCUGGCACCCGAGGAGUCCCGCCUGUGGCACAGGGCGAUCAGUAUUUGAUAUUGGCAGGAGAUGCUCCCGCAAGUACCCUGGACCCAUAUCGUAAAGGACUUUGAAUGUUAACACCAACACCUUGAAUCUCACCCAGAGGGCAACCGGUAACCAAUGCAGCUCGUGCAGGAGGGGUGUAACAUGGGAGUAUCGGGAAACUCCCAUCACAGCCCGCAGCAUUCUGCACCAGCUGAAGCCUCCAGAUGGUGUGCAAGGGCAGUCCUAAAUAGAGAGCAUUGCAGUAGUCCAGUCGGGAAGUCACAAGUGCAUGAGUGAUAGCGCGAAGGGCAUCUCGGUCCAGAUACGGGCAACUGGUGAACCAGUCGGACCUGGGCAAAAGCCCCUGGCCCGGCCCCACCUGCUCCUCCAAACCAAGCCAUGAAUCCAGGAGGACUCCCAGGUUCCGGGCCCUAUCCACAGGGGGCAACACCACUCCCCCUAUGACCAAAAAUGGAAUCAACUGACUGGGCCGAGAUGCCUGUAUGCACAACCACUCAGUCUUAGCUGGGUUGAGCUGCAGUCCGUUCCUGCCCAUCCAGAUUUGUACCGCAUCCAGACACUGGGUCAUCACAGAGAGGGCAUCACUGAUUUGGUUUGGGGUGGAGAUGUACAACUGGGUAUCAUCAGCGUACUGAUGAUACCUCACCCCAAAACCACAGAUGAUCUUGCCCAGUGGCUUCAUAUAGAUGUUGAACAGGAGGGAAGAGAGGACCGACCCCUGAGGGACCCCACAUGUGAGUGCCCUCGGGGCUGACCUCUUUAUGAUAAUUGCAGUAUCUCAUAUGAUUUUUAUUUUUAUUUUUUUAUUUAUUUUUAUUCAUAUUUAUAUGCCGCCCUUCUCUGGAGACUCAGGGCGGGCGGCUUACAAUUUUUGGAGCACAACCCAAUGGUCUCAGCAAUAGCCUUCAUUCCAUUGUAUAUGCCUGCUUAUUACUAAGCGGCAUUUUUACAAAGUCAGCUUAUUGCCCCCAACAAUCUUGGGUCCUCAAUUUACCUACCCUGAGAGGAUGGAAGGCUGAGUCAACCUUGAGCCUGGUGGGAUUUGAGCCUGCAAUAAUUGCAGGCAGCUGGAAUUAAGUGCUAGGCAUUUAACAGCCUGCACCACCAAGGCCCUUGGUGAUCACCACCUGUAACUUUAUGAUCAACAAGGUUAAUGGAGAAACCAGAUUUAUUUAACAACCAUGUUACUAAUUUAAUGAUGGAAUUAUUCACUUGACAACUGUGGUAAGAAAGGUCUAAAAUGGGGCAAAACUCACUUAGCAAAUGUGUCACUUAGCAACAGAAAUUUUGGGCUUACUUGUGAUUAUAAAUUGAGGACUACCCAUAUGAGAUUAUAAUUUAUGAAAAAGAACCAUUUUCGCGCCGCCCCAAAGUUAAACACAACUCUGCCCUCAAUGAAAUCAAGUUUGACACCUGCUCUAGAACCAUGAGCAGUUGUAAAAAGGUCUUGCUAAUAUAUGAGCAGUGUUUUUCAGCCUUAGCAACUUUAAGAUGCAUGGACUUCCUAGAAUUCUCCUAGAAUUCAUACUAGAAACUAGUAUGCUAAUGUGCUAAUUGAAAUCUAGACAUCUUAAAGUUGCCGAGGCUGUAAAACACCAUUCUAGAGUAAUACUUCUUGCCACAUACGAGUCCACAAUCUGGUUGCUUAACAUUUUCAGUUAGGUUUCAGGCCUGGUUACAGCACAGAGACUGCUUUGGUCACACUGUUUGAUGAUCUCUGGCGAUCUUGGGAUAGGGUUCAUUCCUCUGUCCUGGUGCUACUUGACCUCUGGGUGGCUUUCAUACCAUUGACCAUGGUAUCUUUCUGUGGCAGCUGAUGGGGUUGGGAGUGGGAGGCACUGUGUUAUGGUGGUUCACCUCCUAUCUCUCUGGUCGGUCACAGUCGGUGUUGGUAGGAGGACAGAGGUUGACCCCUCGGCCCCUCAUCUAUGGGGUGCCUCAGGGCUCGGUCCUCUCUUC
rnacentral:lncRNA from 1 species